GACGAACGCUGACGGUGUGCUUUAGACAUGCAAGUCGAACGAGAAAGCCCUUCGGGUGAGUACAGUGGCGAACGGGUGAGUAACACGUGGGCAACCUGCCCCUCGCAGGGGGACGAACCGGAGGAAACUCCGGCUAAUACCCCGUAAGCUUGUUGGGUCGCAUGACCCUUCAAGGAAAGGUAGCUUCGGCCAUCCGGCGAGGGAUGGGCCCGCGGUACAUUAGCUAGUUGGUGGGGUAACGGCCCACCAAGGCGACGANGUAUAGCUGGUCUGAGAGGAUGAUCAGCCACACUGGGACUGAGACACGGCCCAGACCCCUACGGGAGGCAGCAGUCGGGAAUCUUGCGCAAUGGGCGAAAGCCUNACGCAGCAACACCGUGUGAGCGACGAAGGCC
rnacentral:rRNA from 1 species